UCGAAUUUAACAAAACGAAAAACCACGUGUCGUUCUUUUAUUGGACAACAUAACUUGUGCUCAAGCACGUGUGACGGUGUGAGUCAUGCUUGCGCUCGACAUUGCUGCGCCGAGCUCCGGUCACCGCUCAGCCGAUGCUCUAAAAAAUUGUUAAAGUUUGCUUCAAAAGUUAGUUAUGCAACCGAAAGGUAGGGAUUGCCAUCAGAUGAUUGGCUCUUGUAACAGCAAGGCCAAAUUCCUCAUUCAUGUCCAGCUCCUCUGGCGACAUUUCAUUUGCCAGCUGCCAAUCGAAGCAGUGGACUAACUGUGACACGAUCAGUCGAACUUGGAUGAGCCCCAGUUGGAUUCCGGGACAACCUCUCCUCCCAGAGCCAAAUGGAAGGAGCUGAAAUGUUGUCCCCUGAGAUCAAUGUCGCUGCCAGAAAACCUCUCUGGAAUGAACAUCACUGGAUCAGUCCAUACAUUUGGAUCACGGCCAAUUGCAUAUGUGUUGACGAGUAUUCUUGAUUCUUUUGGUAUGUCAUAGCCAUCAACCUUGCUGUCUUCCCUUGCAUAGUGAGGAACCAACAGUGGAGCCACUGGAUGCAUCCUGAAGGUUUCCUUUACAACCAUGUCGAGAUAUUCGAGUUUGUCCAGUUCAGAGAGUAUCCACUCAACUGAUGAUGCUGAUGAGUCCAUUGAACCUCUGAGCAAGUCCUGCACAUCAUAAUAGCCUUGACAUGACGCCGGUCAAACUGAAAUUCAGCUUGUCCACUCUGCAUUAUGGACAUCAUGGUAUCAACAAUGUCUUUUGUCUGGUCAUGAUGAUCUCCGGCUCGAACAUGGUCUUCGAUAACUUUCUCAAAG